ACGGGGUGCAGCAGGCGCGAAAACUUUGCAAUGUGCGAAAGCACGACAAGGUUAAUCCGAGUGGUUUCUGCUAAAGGAACCUUUUGUUAGUCCUAGAAACACUAACGAAUAAGGGGUGGGCAAGUUCUGGUGUCAGCCGCCGCGGUAAAACCAGCACCUCAAGUGGUCAGGAUGAUUAUUGGGCCUAAAGCAUCCGUAGCCGGCUCUGUAAGUUUUCGGUUAAAUCUGUACGCUCAACGUACAGGCUGCCGGGAAUACUGCAGAGCUAGGGAGUGGGAGAGGUAGACGGUACUCGGGAGGAAGUGGUAAAAUGCUUUGAUCUCUCGAUGACCACCUGUGGCGAAGGCGGUCUACCAGAACACGUCCGACGGUGAGGGAUGAAAGCUGGGGGAGCAAACCGGAUUAGAUACCCGGGUAGUCCCAGCUGUAAACUAUGCAAACUCAGUGAUGCAUUGGCUUGUGGCCAAUGCAGUAUUGCAGGGAAGCCGUUAAGUUUGCCGCCUGGAAGUACGUACGCAAGUA
rnacentral:rRNA from 1 species